rnacentral:rRNA from 1 species
AGAGUUUGAUCCUGGCUCAGAACGAACGCUGGCGGCAGGCCUAACACAUGCAAGUCGAGCGAGAUCUUCGGGUCUAGCGGCGGACGGGUUAGUAACGCGUGGGAACGUGCCCUUCUCUAUGGAAUAGCCUCGGGAAACUGAGAGUAAUACCAUAUACGCCCUUCGGGGGAAAGAUUUAUCGGAGAAGGAUCGGCCCGCGUCGGAUUAGGUAGUUGGUGGGGUAACGGCCUACCAAGCCGACGAUCCAUAGCUGGUUUGAGAGGAUGAUCAGCAACACUGGGACUGAGACACGGCCCAGACUCCUACGGGAGGCAGCAGUGGGGAAUUUUGGACAAUGGGCGAAAGCCUGAUCCAGCCAUUCCGCGUGCAGGAUGAAGGCCCUCGGGUUGUAAACUGCUUUUGUACGGAACGAAAAAGCUCCGGCUAAUACCUGGAGUCCAUGACGGUACCGUAAGAAUAAGCACCGGCUAACUACGUGCCAGCAGCCGCGGUAAUACGUAGGGUGCAAGCGUUAAUCGGAAUUACUGGGCGUAAAGCGUGCGCAGGCGGUUUUGUAAGACAGAGGUGAAAUCCCCGGGCUCAACCUGGGAACUGCCUUUGUGACUGCAAGGCUGGAGUGCGGCAGAGGGGGAUGGAAUUCCGCGUGUAGCAGUGAAAUGCGUAGAUAUGCGGAGGAACACCGAUGGCGAAGGCAAUCCCCUGGGCCUGC